GAAAUUUUCAAAAUGCAUUAUUACUCGUUCAACUUUCUUCUUUGAAACAUCAAAUAGCAUUGACAACACUUAACUACAAAAAACAUAGAUCACUUUAUUUCAGAGAAACAAGUAGAUUGAACCUUCUAUAUAGUUCCCUAAGCUGUAGAAGUUUUAGCAAUUGCUCCAGCCUCGGUUAGCAGAGGAAGAAGCUUCCCUUCCCUGUGCAACGCAGUUGUCGCGUCACAGCCACCAAUGUGCUUUCCGCCUAUGAAGACGUUUGGCACAGUUCGCUGACCAGUCCACUCAGCCAGUGCAGCCUGGAUCUCACUUCCAUCCUUUUCAGAAUCUAACUCAACAGCCUUAAAAGUAGCACCAAGCUUCGACAACAAAUCCUUGACGCUAACACAGAAGGGACAAUACGUCUUGCUGAAGACCGCAACUGGAUUUCCAGAAACAAUUUCCUUAGCCUUGGCAAGUGACAUCUUCAAUCGAUUUGCUUUUCAAACCCUAGAUUAUACAACAAAA
rnacentral:misc_RNA from 1 species